rnacentral:rRNA from 1 species
UACAGAGGGUGCGAGCGUUAAUCGGAAUUACUGGGCGUAAAGCGUGCGUAGACGGUUAUUUAAGUCGGGUGUGAAAGCCCCGGGCUCAACCUGGGAAUUGCAUUCGAGACUGAAUAGCUAGGGUACGGUAGAGGGAAGCGGAAUUUCCGGUGUAGCGGUGAAAUGCGUAGAUAUCGGAAGGAACAUCGGUGGCGAAGGCGGCAUCCUGGACCGACAUUGACGCUGAGGAGCGAAAGCUAGGGGAGCAAACGGG